UUAUAUAUAUAAUUUUCUCUUCCCUGGAAGAUGCUUUCUUAGGAGCACUGACUUAAGAUAUAAAGUUUGUUGUGUGUAUGCUUACUUCCACAGCUUUAUCAAAAGGCUUCUUCCUCAGGUACUUGUCUCCACUUUUGCUUUCAGACCCCUAGUCAGUCACUUAUAGCGUUCACAAAUGAAUCUCUGUCUUUACCACAGAGCAAUUGAUUUUCUUUUCAAAGUGAAUGACCAGAAACAUUGCUGUGUAGGAGUAGAGGUUUUUAUUGUUUUUGAGAACUAUCCUUGGGUGGGCUGUGGUGCAGGAGCAGACCAUUUUCAGCUUGUACUCUGAUAUUAAGACAAACCACCUGAUAUUUCAACUUGGACUUUUUAUUCUAUUAUGAGAUGUAAAUAGAAUCUGCUUUGCCUAUCCUUUGUGGACAAGAAUGGGUAUGCUUCUAUGACAACAAUGGUUAAAGAAGGGGAAAGUUUAAGAAAGGAACAAAUAAUAAGAGUAGGAAGGAGAAGAAGGAAGACGAGGAGGAGGAGAAGGAAGGGGAGGAAGGAGGAGAAGAGGAAGAGGAGGAGGAGGGGAAGAAGAAGAGGAAGAGGGAAUGAUAUAAUUGUAUUUUAAUUAAAUAAAAAUUUACAUCUUCAGAAAAACAUACUAGAACCUACAUUAGUUUACCUUGGUAAACAUACCUAUCUGUCAUAGUCAUUGCAACAAGAGCUUGGUUAACUCCUUUUUUUUUUCUUUUUUUCGGAGCUGGGGACCGAACUCUGGGCCUUGCGCUUGCUAGACCCUCAUCCUAGUUGCCUGGAAGCCGGUAUUCUGCUAGCAGCCUUCAGAUGAAGAUGUAGAACUUUCAGCUCUUCCUGCACCAUGCCUGCCUGGAUGCUGCCAUGUUCCUGCCUUGAUUAUAAUGGACUAAACCUCUGAACCUGGAAAGGAAUUGAACAAAGCAGUCCAACACCUAAAAGUAGAAGCAGAAACAAUAGAGAGAACACAAAUGGAGGCAACCCUUGUAAUGGAAAACCUAGGAAACAUCAUGAGUUACAGAUGUAAGCAUCACCAACAGUAUAAGAGAGAUAAAAGAGAGAAUCUCAGGUGUAGAAGAUACCUUACAAGAUAUUAAAGGUCGAUAAAAUUCAAACCCCAAAACAUCCUGGAAAUUGUGAUUCAUGCUUUGGGAAAAAUGAGAGGUAAAACAUGUGGCCCAUACAUAUACAACCACCCAAUUAGACAAGAUGGAUGAAGCAAAGAAGUGCAGACCGACAGGAGCUGGAUGUAGAUCGCUCCUGAGAGACACAGCCGGAAUACAGCAAAUACAGAGGCGAAUGCCAGCAGCAAACCACUGAACUGAGAAUAGGACCCCCGUUGAAGGAAUCAGAGAAAGAACUAGAAGAGCUUGAAGGGGCUCGAGACCCCAUAUGUACAACAAUGCCAAGCAACCAGAGCUUCCAGGGACUAAGCCACUACCUAAAGACUAUACAUGGACUGACUCUGGACUCUGACCUCAUAGGUAGCAAUGAAUAUCCUAGUAAGAGCACCAGUGGAAGGGGAAGCCCUGGGUCCUGCUAAGACUGA